rnacentral:rRNA from 1 species
UACGAGGGGGGCGAGCGUUGUUCGGAAUUAUUGGGCGUAAAGGGCGCGUAGGCGGUCGGAUAAGUCUUGUGUGAAAUCUUCGGGCUCAACUCGAAGUCUGCACAGGAAACUAUCUGGCUUGAGUGUGGGAGAGGUGAGUGGAAUUCCUGGUGUAGCGGUGAAAUGCGUAGAUAUCAGGAGGAACACCAAAGGCGAAGGCAGUGUCCUGGGGAGUACCUGACGCUCAGGUGCGAAAGCCAGGGGAGCGAACGGG